CGGCUAGCGGCGUGCGUGUGGCCGCGGGAAUAUGGAGGGUGCGAUCGUGAAUCGGGAGUACUGGGCGUAAAGCGUGGGAAGGCGGCUAGUCAAGACGGGUGUGAAAUCCCCGGGCUCAACCUGGGAACUGCAUUUGGGACUGCAUGGCUAGCGUGAGUCGGAGGGAGGGGGAAUUCCGCGUGUAGCAGUGAAAUGCGUAGAGAUGCGGAGGAACACCGAUGGCGAAGGCAGCCUCCUGGGAUGACACUGACGCUCAUGCACGAAAGCGUGGGGAGCAAACAGGAUUAGAUACCCGGUAGUC
rnacentral:rRNA from 1 species